UUAAGCGACUAAGCGUACACGGUGGAUGCCCUGGCAGUCAGAGGCGAUGAAGGGCGUGCUAAUCUGCGAUAAGCGCCGGUAAGGUGAUAUGAACCGUUAUAACCGGCGAUACCCGAAUGGGGAAACCCAGUGUGAUUCGUCACACUAUCAUUAACUGAAUCCAUAGGUUAAUGAGGCGAACCGGGGGAACUGAAACAUCUAAGUACCCCGAGGAAAAGAAAUCAACCGAGAUUCCCCCAGUAGCGGCGAGCGAACGGGGAGGAGCCCAGAGCCUGAAUCAGCAUGUGUGUUAGUGGAAGCGUCUGGAAAGGUGCGCGAUACAGGGUGACAGCCCCGUACACAAAAGCGCAUGUGCUGUGAGCUCGAUGAGUAGGGCGGGACACGUGGUAUCCUGUCUGAAUAUGGGGGGACCAUCCUCCAAGGCUAAAUACUCCUGACUGACCGAUAGUGAACCAGUACCGUGAGGGAAAGGCGAAAAGAACCCCGGCGAGGGGAGUGAAAAAGAACCUGAAACCGUGUACGUACAAGCAGUGGGAGCACCCUUCGGGGUGUGACUGCGUACCUUUUGUAUAAUGGGUCAGCGACUUAUAUUCUGUAGCAAGGUUAACCGUAUAGGGGAGCCGGAGGGAAACCGAGUCUUAACCGGGCGUUAAGUUGCAGGGUAUAGACCCGAAACCCGGUGAUCUAGCCAUGGGCAGGUUGAAGGUUGGGUAACACUAACUGGAGGACCGAACCGACUAAUGUUGAAAAAUUAGCGGAUGACCUGUGGCUGGGGGUGAAAGGCCAAUCAAACCGGGAGAUAGCUGGUUCUCCCCGAAAGCUAUUUAGGUAGCGCCUCGUGAAUUCAUCUCCGGGGGUAGAGCACUGUUUCGGCUAGGGGGCCAUCCCGGCUUACCAACCCGAUGCAAACUGCGAAUACCGGAGAAUGUUAUCACGGGAGACACACGGCGGGUGCUAACGUCCGUCGUGAAGAGGGAAACAACCCAGACCGCCAGCUAAGGUCCCAAAGUCAUGGUUAAGUGGGAAACGAUGUGGGAAGGCCCAGACAGCCAGGAUGUUGGCUUAGAAGCAGCCAUCAUUUAAAGAAAGCGUAAUAGCUCACUGGUCGAGUCGGCCUGCGCGGAAGAUGUAACGGGGCUAAACCAUGCACCGAAGCUGCGGCAGCGAACGUAUCACCCAAGACAACUUUACGGAGUUGACGAUUGACGGAGCGAAGCGACGUCAAAGCGUUCAUUAAAGUCGAGUUGGCUUAGGGAUACGUUCGUUGGGUAGGGGAGCGUUCUGUAAGCCUGUGAAGGUGUGUCGUGAGGCAUGCUGGAGGUAUCAGAAGUGCGAAUGCUGACAUAAGUAACGAUAAAGCGGGUGAAAAGCCCGCUCGCCGGAAGACCAAGGGUUCCUGUCCAACGUUAAUCGGGGCAGGGUGAGUCGACCCCUAAGGCGAGGCCGAAAGGCGUAGUCGAUGGGAAACGGGUUAAUAUUCCCGUACUUGGUGUUACUGCGAAGGGGGGACGGAGAAGGCUAUGUUGGCCGGGCGACGGUUGUCCCGGUUUAAGCGUGUAGGUGUGUGUUCCAGGUAAAUCCGGUUCACUUUAACACUGAGGCGUGACGACGAGGCACUACGGUGCUGAAGCAACAAAUGCCCUGCUUCCAGGAAAAGCCUCUAAGCAUCAGGUAACACGAAAUCGUACCCCAAACCGACACAGGUGGUCAGGUAGAGAAUACCAAGGCGCUUGAGAGAACUCGGGUGAAGGAACUAGGCAAAAUGGUGCCGUAACUUCGGGAGAAGGCACGCUGACACGUAGGUGAAGUGAUUUACUCAUGGAGCUGAAGUCAGUCGAAGAUACCAGCUGGCUGCAACUGUUUAUUAAAAACACAGCACUGUGCAAACACGAAAGUGGACGUAUACGGUGUGACGCCUGCCCGGUGCCGGAAGGUUAAUUGAUGGGGUCAGCGUAAGCGAAGCUCCUGAUCGAAGCCCCGGUAAACGGCGGCCGUAACUAUAACGGUCCUAAGGUAGCGAAAUUCCUUGUCGGGUAAGUUCCGACCUGCACGAAUGGCGUAAUGAUGGCCAGGCUGUCUCCACCCGAGACUCAGUGAAAUUGAACUCGCUGUGAAGAUGCAGUGUACCCGCGGCAAGACGGAAAGACCCCGUGAACCUUUACUAUAGCUUGACACUGAACAUUGAGCCUUGAUGUGUAGGAUAGGUGGGAGGCUUUGAAGUGUGGACGCCAGUCUGCAUGGAGCCGACCUUGAAAUACCACCCUUUAAUGUUUGAUGUUCUAACGUGGACCCGUAAUCCGGGUUGCGGACAGUGUCUGGUGGGUAGUUUGACUGGGGCGGUCUCCUCCUAAAGAGUAACGGAGGAGCACGAAGGUUGGCUAAUCCUGGUCGGACAUCAGGAGGUUAGUGCAAUGGCAUAAGCCAGCUUGACUGCGAGCGUGACGGCGCGAGCAGGUGCGAAAGCAGGUCAUAGUGAUCCGGUGGUUCUGAAUGGAAGGGCCAUCGCUCAACGGAUAAAAGGUACUCCGGGGAUAACAGGCUGAUACCGCCCAAGAGUUCAUAUCGACGGCGGUGUUUGGCACCUCGAUGUCGGCUCAUCACAUCCUGGGGCUGAAGUAGGUCCCAAGGGUAUGGCUGUUCGCCAUUUAAAGUGGUACGCGAGCUGGGUUUAGAACGUCGUGAGACAGUUCGGUCCCUAUCUGCCGUGGGCGCUGGAGAACUGAGGGGGGCUGCUCCUAGUACGAGAGGACCGGAGUGGACGCAUCACUGGUGUUCGGGUUGUCAUGCCAAUGGCACUGCCCGGUAGCUAAAUGCGGAAGAGAUAAGUGCUGAAAGCAUCUAAGCACGAAACUUGCCCCGAGAUGAGUUCUCCCUGAGACUUAGAGUCUCCUGAAGGAACGUUGAAGACGACGACGUUGAUAGGCCGGGUGUGUAAGCGCAGCGAUGCGUUGAGCUAACCGGUACUAAUGAACCGUGAGGCUUAACCUU
rnacentral:rRNA from 1 species